rnacentral:tRNA from 1 species
GCCGACGUGGCUGAGCGGUUGAAGGCACUAGAUUUGUAAUCUAGCUCGAAAGACGCCGCCGGUUCGAAUCCGGCCGUCGGCU